rnacentral:rRNA from 1 species
GACGAACGCUGGCGGCGUGCUUAACACAUGCAAGUCGAACGGCAAGGCCCUGCUUGCAGGGUACUCGAGUGGCGAACGGGUGAGUAACACGUGGGUGCUCUGCCCUGCACUUCGGGAUAAGCCUGGGAAACUGGGUCUAAUACCGGAUAGGAGCCACUUUUAGUGUGAUGGUUGGAAAGUUUUUUCGGUGUAGGAUGAGCUCGCGGCCUAUCAGCUUGUUGGUGGGGUAAUGGCCUACCAAGGCGGCGACGGGUAGCCGGCCUGAGAGAGUGGACGGCCACAUUGGGACUGAGAGACGGCCCAGACUCCUACGGGAGGCAGCAGUGGGGAAUAUUGCACAAUGGGCGCAAGCCUGAUGCAGCGACGCCGCGUGGGGGAUGACGGCCUUCGGGUUGUAAACACCUUUCGCGAGGGACGAAGCUUGUUGUGACGGUACCUAGAUAAGAAGCACCGGCUAACUACGUG